rnacentral:tRNA from 1 species
CGGGCUGUAGCGCAGUUUGGUAGCGCACUUGACUGGGGGUCAAGGGGUCGCAAGUUCGAAUCUUGUCGCUCCGACCA